rnacentral:ncRNA from 2 species
UUACAUUGCUAGGGGUGCUUUAAAGUGCUGAAAGAGGAGGAUUCCUCAACCCUUUGGACCUGAACUAGAUAAUACUAGCGUAGGGAAGCAAAUGAACGUACGA